GCAAAUGUCAGCCUGCUCUCCCUGGCCAUGAUACCUCAUGUAGGCUUCAUGUAAUUACAGGCAGGGGAAUUCCAGAGCAAGGAUUCCUGGAAAGAUGAAUUAUUCUAGUGUCUCUGGUGCUCGUCUUUAAAUUGUAAAAGUGUUUUCAAUUUUGUAAGCUGACUCACAGUAUCUGGCUGCAGUCCCCAAAUUUUCAGGCCAUUGGAAGAGUGUACCGAAGGUGUUGUUUCCAGCUGGACUCGUAAGGAAGAUUCUUGGCGCCUGGCUGCACGUUAUCAGCUACCCAGCUGUGAGCAUUUCUAGCAGAUAAACAUCC
rnacentral:lncRNA from 1 species